ACCCGAGAAGGCGGUGAUACGUGUCACCUUUUUUUCUUUUUAAAUAUGUCUAGAUCUAAUUUUUUAAAAUAUUAAUUUUGGAAAUGUUGUAGGCUACUAGAGCGAUCCUGUCAUUUAGUCACAUCUACAGCCUGUAUAAGUGUAGAAUAGCACUAUGGUAGAGCAUCUGGCAUCUGGUUUAGCUACAAUAAUACUAAUUCACUAAUUCAGUAAUUGUGUCAUUAGACUUUACAGUGGAGGUCUAUUGCUAGUUUAAUAAAUAGGUUUUAAAAUGCGGUUCAUUCAAGGGAUUGAUGGUAUGGGAGUCUAGAUUCGAGCACAUGCCAUGUGAGAGCUUCCACAAGACUCCAUAUCUGUACAGCCGACACUCCAGUUCUGUUUUACAUAGAAGUGAAAGCUAAUACAUACCUAGAGAGUUGUAGAUGGAUACCAAAGCAUUUGAACAUGGUUUUAAUUCUUCUCAUAGCUGUGAGAAUCAAGUCCAAAGCAAAAACUCAGAAGACAACAAAACAAAAGUUUCGAGCUGAGAAGCCAGAGCGCGCAGUUGUCUGUCCGAGCUACCUGCUCCAGAGAUCCACAGACAUUACAACUUGUUUUAAAUAAAAUUGA